UAGGGAAUCUUCCGCAAUGGACGCAAGUCUGACGGAGCAACGCCGCGUGAGUGAAGAAGGAUUUCGGUUCGUAAAACUCUGUUGUUAGAGAAGAACAGCGCAUAGAGUAACUGUUAUGCGUGUGACGGUAUCUAACCAGAAAGCCACGGCUAACUACGUGCCAGCAGCCGCGGUAAUACGUAGGUGGCAAGCGUUGUCCGGAUUUAUUGGGCGUAAAGCGAGCGCAGGCGGUCAAUUAAGUCUGAUGUGAAAGCCCCCGGCUCAACCGGGGAGGGUUAUUGGAAACUGGUUGACUUGAGUGCAGAAGAGGAGAGUGGAAUUCCAUGUGUAGCGGUGAAAUGCGUAGAUAUAUGGGGGAACACCAGUGGCGAAAGCGGCUCUCUGGUCUGUAACUGACGCUGAGGCUCGAAAGCGUGGGUAGCAAACAGG
rnacentral:rRNA from 1 species